GUUUCCGUAGUGUAGUGGUCAUCACGUUUGCCUAACAUGCAAAAGGUCCCCAGUUCGAAACUGGGCGGAAACA
rnacentral:tRNA from 1 species